UUUUCCCAAUAAAAAUUCUUUAGACAUUUAUUCCCAAAAACUAUCCAUAUUAUCGAUGAUCUUGAGGGCUCGCAAGCAUAUUUUCUGGCGAGCAAAUGGAAUUGAAGCUACUUUCCACAGAAACACAAUAAUCCCUCCAAAGUCUAGCUUCCAGCUGCCGCCACUACAAUAAAUUUGGAUUCCAAUUUGGAUGUUCAAUCAAGUGCUGUUGCUGUUGCUGUUUCCUGUCCUCGAAGGACUUAGCUCCAGUCUUCGCGAUCGGCACAACACCACCAGCCCCAUCCGAGGUAUACGAACAGGAGAACGCAUAAACAGAAGAUUAACACGAAAACGGCAAUAGCCAGGGCCACCCAAAUGGCCAGCAAGGAGCUCUCACGACGAUAGUACUCCGUCGAUGAGUAUACCCAGCCCAAAGUGCUGGCGAAUGUGGACUCAUCCGAUUGCAGGUCUACGAAUCCUUCAGGCAUUUUAGAAUGCAAUUUUGAUACUAGAUACUUUAAAUGUAUUUGUUUAGAAUUUUAAGACUGAACCUCACAGCUUGAUGUGUUUUCCAAAGGCUAAGGCUAAAGCUGUACCACUUCUCGUUCGGAACGAGCUCCUCUUUUAAUGUCAUUGUUUUUUACUUUUGUUGAAAAAUCAUUUAAUUAUCCAUUCGUUGGCAACACUGAUUUAUGUGGCUAAAUAAUUAGCGCCUUUUAGCAGCCAUUAAAUGGAUGCCCGGCACCAUUUUAUGAGCCUUCCGUAAGAGCCAAUCGUAAAUCCAACCCCAAAACUCCGAAAGAGCCAAUAACCAUUCGAUUACCGAUGGGUGGAAAUGGCAAUGGCAAUGGCAAUGGCAAUGGCUAUAAAUUGGAAUGUUUCAAUAUUUAAAUAUUUGCAAUUACAUUUAAAUGUUUGGCCAUGUGUGUGUGUGUGCGGAUUGGAUCCUGAAUAAGAGGAUGAGAGCGGUGAGCGGUGCACGGCUGUCUGCCAAAAUAAAUAUCUUUAUAUUCGGCUUUUUCUGGCUCCUCGCACAUGCCAAUAAAUUGCUAGACACAAAGUGUCAACCGACGGGGACGAGGACAGCCUUAUUUGCAUACGGAUCCCUGCCUGUCUGCCCUGCCUUCCAUUCCCCGCUACUUACAACCAUAUUAUAAUGGAAUCCACACUUGAAAAUAGAGCAAUAUCCAUCCACUUGCAUAUGUUGCCGCGGACAUUCCACC
rnacentral:lncRNA from 1 species